AGCAACCUUGGAGGACCCCAGCUUGCCGAGGUAGACGUGGACCUGAGUGGGGCUAGACGCCGCAGAGGAAGUGGGGCUGCAGGCCGGAGUUUGCGUGCGGUUUGUGUCCAGACCUGCUGCACCAUGUCGAAGGUUUCCUUUAAGAUCACACUGACGUCGGACCCGCGGCUGCCGUACAAAGUACUCAGUGUUCCUGAAAGUACACCUUUUACAGCAGUCUUAAAGUUUGCAGCAGAAGAAUUUAAAGUUCCUGCAGCAACAAGUGCAAUUAUUACCAAUGAUGGAAUAGGAAUAAAUCCUGCACAGACUGCUGGUCCUGGGCUUGAAAUUUAGCCAUACAGCAAAUGAAGAGGAAUUUUAAAUAAUUUCUUUUUACAGGAAUCAGUUGUUUUAAGUGUAUAAUUUUAUUAAAUUAAAAAGGCUAUUUUUUGAGAAUCAUGAGGCAUUUUGUUGUAUAGAUGCCUUUAAACUUAGGUUUAAAGGUUUUGCUUUUCCUACUCUAGAAAUGCUUGGUAGUUAUAUUAAUUUGAAUUACUGCUUACUCUGACAUGUUGCCUGUUGGAUUACCCUAUAAAAUUGAAUUUUGGGCAUCACGAGGUGUGAAGAAAAUCUCAGCAGACAACGCAGACCCAAAGAAAUGUUUUUCUAAAGCACGGUUCAGAACUGCGAAUAAUUCCUAGAGAUCGUGUUGGAAGUUGUUAAUAUCUGCUGCUGGGAACAUAAAAUCCCCUUCCAGAGUAAAUAUUGGUAUUGUUAUUGUUGUAAAAUUGGAAUCAGGCAUUUGAAAUCCUAUGAAGACACCAAUAGUUGAUGAAGUAAUGACAGGUGGCUGUCUGUCCCUUCUUGUUAUUCACACUCUUCACAUGAAGAGGGGCGGCUUCUGCGUUGAGGGUGUCAUCACCACAGAAGAUCACAUUACUACCUCACAGCACACACAGGUAGUUCAUUGGGGGUAAAUGGAUUAUCCAACUGUGUCUUAUAACUGGAGGAUACUUCUGAUCAUUCUUUCUGAGAACAUUUGGAAAAUUAAAAUUUACUGAAUCUUCCUAUUUGUCUUUGAGUUAAUAAUGUAAAAAGAUUAUCAAUCUGUACGUGGCAGUUUGUUUGAUAGCAUCUGACCUGCAGACACAAAAAUAGUUGAAUUCUUCAUUAAUAUCAUUUAUGAUAAAGGAUCACAUCAAAGAAUAACUAUCUUUUUUUAUCAUUUAGCUUGUUUUGAAGUUUCAGACUUCUUGAGUUCUUAUAAAUUUUAAUUUAAAAAUCAAAGAGCCAAAAAUUGAAUUUUCGAUCUAGCCCCUUACGUGUAACAUUGGUAUCCCACGCCAAAGAGUUUGAGACUAAAGUAGAAACAUCAGUUGCCGAAUUAUGCAUUCCUUUAUUGAUCUCUUUUUUAAAAAAACCUUUAAAACAGGAAUCUUCAAGAAACUAUCUUUUUGAGGAUAAUAUAUCUAAAUAGUGUUCAGGGAGAAAGUAUUGUUGUAAAGAGGAUCUGACGUUCACAGCAGAGCUCAAGGAAGUGCUAAUUGAAAUGCUCACUAACUCUGCUUACUGAAGACCCGACAUUUAAGGAAGUGUUAAGAUUAGUUACUGGAGUGAAUAAGAAGCUAGGAAAGGCAGAUGGGAAAGCCCAGAUGACCAGGCUUCUAGUAAGAAGGAGAGAAACAAAAAUGAAGGGGAGCAGAAAGCUGUAACGAGUGUCCCAGAGAAGGCCAAGCUGGAUAGACAAAACUGCAGAGGCUGUGUUGGGAAGAACUGAAAGGAAAAUAAAAUGCUCGACGUUGUUAUAAGGAGCAGAAGGCAAGCACAGGCCUUGUCAACGUACAGGUUUCAGAAUCCCCCGUAGAGAAUCUAAAGAAUGAUAUGCCUAAGGGAAGGUUUUGUUUGCCCUUAGAGAGGACAUCAGUAUCUGUGCACAUCUUGAAAGGUGAUUGAGAACCAGUGCUUGACUUGCUGUAUUCUAGAUGGAAAGCUCUCUGGAGGCAGGCCUGGUGUCUGUCCUGCUCUUUCUAGGCCUGGAAAUGUAGGCCUUCAAUGAAUAUGUGUAGAAUUAUUCUUGAAUAAAGUAUUUCUAAGACCAGUUUUUAUCUAAGUGUGCGUAGGCUGUAGGGUCAUUGGGAAAAAAAUAAUGCAACAGAAUCAGUAUCCGAAGAGUAAUAUUGGUUAAGUUUAAGGAAGUAACUAGAUAUUGUUCAUAUAUUUGACAAAUGAACAGCAGGCUUCUGAAUUGUAAAGGGAAAAAAAAUUGUGCUGAGGUAGUACGUUGCUAAUGUUUGGGGAAUUUUUUAUUUUUAUAAACAAAGUCUGAUGCCUAAAGACUCCUGGUCUUUAACAACAUUAAUUAAGCUGCAGUUAACCAGAAAUUUAUGAAUACCCAGUUUCUGAAUUUUUUGUUUUAUUUAGAUUUCCCCCAUUCUGUUUCUAGCACAAAAUUCUGCCUGAUUUGUUACAUUAAUAAGUUUUAUGAUGUCUUCUACCAUAAUUUGUUUAAUAUUUUUGUUCUUUGGUUGGAAAAUUGUAUUGCAGUAAGGUCUUAAGAAAUAUUUUCUUAAAGAACUAGACAUUUUGUUAUUAAACAAAUGUGAUCUGUAACUUCUUUGUGCAGAAUGUUUUGAAGUGUUGUAUUUAGUUUAAAAGCUUUA